rnacentral:tRNA from 1 species
GCCUUCGUGGAGUAGUGGUCAGCACGCUCAGCGCGUAUUCGAGAGUUUCGGGGUUCAAGUCCCGACGAAGGUA